GGGACCGUGGUGUAGGGGUAAGCGUGGUUGCCUCUCACCCAGACGUCUUGGGUUCGAACCCAGACGGUCCCG
rfam:Culex pipiens quinquefasciatus supercont3.16 genomic scaffold, whole genome shotgun sequence.